rnacentral:lncRNA from 1 species
UAUACAGUAUAUAUACAAACAUUAUGUGUGCAUGUUCUGCAAAGGCUCCCAAACUAUUUGACUUCUCAGGACCAAUCUUGGCCUGGAGUCUUCCUAUCGCCUUCCAGGGCCCACGGUCCUGGAGUUAAUAUCAUCCCAGAGGAUGAGGUAUUUUGGAAUGGCAAUGAAAAUGCCUUCAUUUAAAACCAUCAGAAUGAUGUUUGAAUUUAAGAUGAUGUCAUAGCGAUACUGGCAUUAUGUCACCAGUUACGUGGCAAUGUAUGACAUCAUAAAAUGCUUCUGUUGUAUGAUGUCAUGCAGAUGUAACAGUGAACAUCAUCACUAUAACAGCAUGUUGCCACUAUAGUGACAUCAUCAUGAUAUUAUAAGCUGACUAAAUGAAUUGAUAAAAUUGGACAUGAAAAGCCUAUGGAUUACAAAUUAUAACAAAUUGUAUGACAUCGUUGCAACAUAAUCUAGGAUGUCACAAAAUGAAGUUGUCAUGAGAUGUCAUGAUGAUUCAACAAUGAAGUCACAGCCACAACUACAUAAUGUAAUCAUGAUCAGCCAACUGAUUCCAAGUAUCAUAAUAAAUGAAUUAUGUGGAAGAAUGAUUUUGUUUGAAUUCGGAAUGUUGUCACAAGAUCCCACGACAUCAUCAUGGCAUAACAGAUGCCACAUAAUAUUGAUAAAUGAUCUCGCUAUUUUAUAUUUUAAGAAAUUCAGAAAGAACCAAUAAUUUCUAAGAGUUUUAAUUCAAUUAUUCUGAUGGUAAAUAUAACAUUUCAAUAAAUAUGAAAUUUAAAAUAACAAUUGAAAAUAAUGCAUGAAAUAAUUCAUUUAAAAAAAUUCUUCAUGGGGACAAUACAAU